rnacentral:rRNA from 1 species
GUAAGUGAUUAAGGGCGCACGGGGGAUGCCUAGGCUCCCAGAGGCGAUGAAGGACGCGACAAGCUGCGAAAAUCCGCGGGGAGGGGCACAUACCCACCGAUCCGCGGGUGUCCGAAUGGGGCAACCCACCCAGCUGAAGGCUGGGUAUCCGCCGCAAGGCGGAGGCAAACCCGGGGAACUGAAACAUCUAAGUACCCGGAGGAGGAGAAAGCAACAGCGAUUCCCUGAGUAGCGGCGAGCGAAAGGGGACGAGCCCAAACCGGUGGCGUUACGGCGCGACCGGGGUUGUAGGGCCGCCAACAGGCGAAGGAAGGCGAAGCGGAACCCGCUGGAAAGCGGGGCCAAAGGGGGUGAUAGCCCCGUACGCGUAAGCUGCACCGGAGCCGGCGGAACCCUGAGUAGGGCGGGGCACGUGAAACCCUGUCUGAAUCCGCGGGGACCAUCCCGCAAGGCUAAAUACUCCUGGGAGACCGAUAGCGAACCAGUACCGUGAGGGAAAGGUGAAAAGCACCCCGAACAGGGGAGUGAAAUAGUGCCUGAAACCGUGCGCCUACAAGCGGUCGGAGUCCGCCAUUUGGCGGAUGACGGCGUGCCUUUUGCAUAAUGAGCCUACGAGUUGCGCUGUCCGGCGAGGUUAACCCCGUAGACGGGGGGAGCCGAAGCGAAAGCGAGUCCGAAUAGGGCGUUUAGUCGGGCGGUGCAGACGCGAAACUUUGCGAUCUACCCAUGGCCAGGUUGAAGGUGUGGUAACACACACUGGAGGACCGAACCGGUAAGCGUUGAAAAGCUUUCGGAUGAGCUGUGGGUGGGGGUGAAAGGCCAAUCAAGCUGAGAAAUAGCUCGUACUCCCCGAAAUGCCUUUAGGGGCAGCCUCGGGCGUACCACCGCGGAGGUAGAGCUACUGACUGGAUGCGAGGGCUUCGCCGCCUAUCAACUCCUGACAAACUCCGAAUGCCGCGGUGCGAUACCCGGGAGAGAGCCGCUGGGUGCUAAGGUCCAGCGACGAGAGGGAAAGAACCCGGACCAGCAGCUAAGGUCCCCAAGUGUACGCUAAGUUGAACAAACGUGGUGCGGCUGCAGUGACAGCUAGGAUGUUGGCUUGGAAGCAGCCAUCCAUUCAAAGAGUGCGUAACAGCUCACUAGUCGAGCGGCCGUGCGUGGAUAAUGAGCGGGCAUCAAGCGUACCACCGAAGCUCUGGAUUUAUCCCGUCACAUGUGACGGGAUAAGUGGUAGGGGAGCAUUCCAGCCGCGUUGAAGCGGCCCUGCGAGGGGUGGUGGAGCAGCUGGAAAAGCAAAUGUAGGCAUGAGUAACGAUAAGGCGGGCGAGAAACCCGCCCACCGAAAGACCAAGGUUUCCUGAUCAACGCUAAUCGGAUCAGGGUUAGUCGGGUCCUAAGGCUAAGGCGAAGGCCGAAGCCGAUGGCAAGCCGGUCAACAUUCCGGCACUGCCGUGCGCUGCGAUGGGGCGACGGAGAAGUGAAAGGCCCGCCCGGUGACGGAAUACCGGGUUUAAGGGUGUAGGUAUAGGCUGGGGUUAGUAGCCCCGGGCUGCCGAACCCGAAAGUACCGCGAGGCUUCGGCCGAGCGGAUAGCGGCCCUAAGCCGACUUCCUAGAAAACCCCCUAAGCUUCAGGCGUAUGGCACCCGUACCGCAAACCGACACAGGUAGUCGAGGAGAGAAUCCUAAGGUGCUCGAGUGAUCCAUGGCUAAGGAACUAGGCAAGCUGACCCUGUAACUUCGGGAGAAAGGGUCCCGCCGCGAGGCGGGCGCAGAGAAAUGGCCCAGGCGACUGUUUAUCAAAAACACAUGGCUCUGCCAAAUCGAGAGAUGACGUAUAGGGCCUGACACCUGCCCGGUGCCGGAAGGUUAAGAGGGGAUGUUAUCCUCGGAGAAGCAUUGAAUCGAAGCCCCGGUAAACGGCGGCCGUAACUAUAACGGUCCUAAGGUAGCGAAAUUCCUUGUCGGGUAAGUUCCGACCUGCACGAAUGGUGUAACGAUCUGGGCGCUGUCUCAGCCAUGAGCUCGGUGAAAUUGAAGUCGCGGUGAAGAUGCCGCGUACCCGCAACGGGACGGAAAGACCCCGUGAACCUUUACUGCAGCUUAGCGCUGGUUCUGGGCAGACGAUGUGUAGGAUAGGCCGGAGGCUUCGAAGCGGUACCGCCAGGUAUCGUGGAGCCGUCCUUGAAAUACGGCCCUUCGUCUGCUUGGGAUCUAAUCCGCCUACCGGCGGAGACACCGCUUGGCGGGUAGUUUGACUGGGGUGGUCGCCUCCAAAAGCGUAACGGAGGCUUCUAAAGGUGCCCUCAGCGCGGAUGGUAAUCGCGCGGGGAGUGCAAUGGCACAAGGGCGCUUGACUGUGAGGCCGACAGGCCGAGCAGGUGCGAAAGCAGGGCAUAGUGAUCCGGUGGUUCCGCAUGGAAGGGCCAUCGCUCAAAGGAUAAAAGGUACUCCGGGGAUAACAGGCUGAUCGCCGCCAAGAGCUCACAUCGACGCGGCGGUUUGGCACCUCGAUGUCGGCUCGUCACAUCCUGGGGCUGGAGAAGGUCCCAAGGGUUCGGCUGUUCGCCGAUUAAAGUGGCACGCGAGCUGGGUUCAGAACGUCGUGAGACAGUUCGGUCCCUAUCUGUUGCGGGCGUAGGAGGCUUGAGAGGCCCUGACACUAGUACGAGAGGACCGUGUUGGACGAACCGCUAGUGUACCUGUUGUGGCGCCAGCUGCAGCGCAGGGUAGCUACGUUCGGAAAGGAUAAGCGCUGAAAGCAUCUAAGCGCGAAGCCUCCCUCAAGAUGAGGCCUCCCUCGAGGGCCGUGGAAGAUGACCACGUAGAUAGGCUGCAGGUGUAAAGGCGGCAACGCCAAAGCCGAGCAGUACUAAUCGCCCGAUAGGCUUACCGCGG